UGCAGAAAGCAAAGACGUCAAAGACCAUAUUUAAACCUGCUGCUACUGAAGUUUGUGCAUAGAAAUUCCAGAGCCAUCAAGCACGAAGUCCGAAGAAACAAUCACCAGUGAGCAGCGAGCAGUUUCUGGCAGUAACCAUUCCGUAAACGGCCGAUCGGUGUCCUCGGGCUCCGGGACUCCCAGCACAUUCGGCUCCAGCAAUGGCAAACGCUUGCGAGCCGACCACGGGCAGAAAUCAGAGGCCUACAAAUCCAUUUUCACCUCCCACAGCUCAGCAAAGCGCUCAAAGGACCAGGAGCCAAACUGGAUCACUCACACUGCAUACUACUUCUGAAACAGCCAGAACCAGAUACCAUCACCGCCUACUUUAGUUAGUAAACCCAGGAGAUUAAAUUUCUUUCCUCUAUGUGGACUUUUUCUCUAGGAGCUCUUCCUAAUUCUGCCGAGACUCUUCAAUCCUGGUGGUAAUGAAAGUGAAAAUGUUUAAUUGGUGAUGGGAUCAGACUGAAGUGGUGAGACUUACCUCGGGUCCAGAGCUCAAACUAAUUAUUGCUCAAACGCGCUUCCAAUUGUCUACUGGUGGCUUUACUCUCAUGAAAACUCUUCAUUUUGCUUAAUAAAUCUCACAAAGGA